GACGAACGCUGGCGGCGUGCUUAACACAUGCAAGUCGAACGGAAAGGCCCCUUUGGGGGUCCGGGAGUUGCGAACGGGUGAGUAACACGUGAGUAACCUGCCCUUGACUUCGGGAGAACUUCAGGAAACUGGGGCUAAUACCGGAUAGGAAUCCGUGCUGCAUGGUGGGGGUUGGAAAGCUUCGGCGGUUUUGGAUGGACUCGCGGCUUAUCAGCUUGGUGGUGGGGUAGUGGCUUACCAAGGCUUUGACGGGUAGCCGGCCUUAGAGGGCGACCGGCCACAUUGGGACUGAGAUACGGCCCAGACUCCUACGGGAGGCAGAAGUGGGGAAUAUUGCACAAUGGGCGGCAGCCUGAUGCAGCAACGCCGCGUGCGGGAUGACGGCCUUCGGGUUGUAAACCGAUUUCAGCAGGGGCGAAUCUUGUGGUGACGGUACCUGCAGAAGAAGCACCGGCUAACUACGUG
rnacentral:rRNA from 1 species